CAGAGAUAAACUCCAGAGGUGGAAAAGUGAAUAAAGUAGGCCGAGUUUGAUGGCUUGACGGUUGAAAGUCCCUUCAAGCAGCUUCUCAGAGAAAAAGGCGGGAAAAAUGUUUAUUUCUGAGGGUGAUUUCUAAAGAGCAAGUGUCUCUCCUCAGCUUCCUCUAAUUGCCAUCCCUCUAUUUGUAUUAAAACCAUUCCACACUUUUGGGGAGAAAUUGGUGACAGCAGCAAAAUUCAGUUUAGUGUGAAGUCAAAGGAAAAACCCACAGAAAACAAUUCGGUUUAGCUUCACUUGAAAGGCACUGACAUGUUUGAAUGGCUCAUUCCUUUCGACUUUGCAAAACUCAGGCACAUUUAAGAGGGGAAAGUAGCACAAAACCCUUUGGACCCAUCCUUUUUAAAUAAAGAUUUACCAAACCACUAACAUGAGUAAAAGAAGAAAGGCACAAAUUUCAGAAGAAAACAGGGAGAUCAGUGUUCCCAAAGCAAAAAAGACCCUUAGGAGGAAGAACCAAGAGGCAGGAGGGGGCAAUCUCACUAGUGGUUCUCCUUCAAAUGAAGCCAUAGCAGAAACAAAUCAAGAAUGCGAAGGAAGUUGCCCAGAGAAUUCUGAAACAGGCAGAAGGUAAUCAGUCUCCCAUCCAUGAAUCACUGAAAAAUGAUUUUGGCUGGUAAACGCUUCAGAAAUUGGUAACAGACAAAGGCAAUUCCUGCCGUAUUUCUCUUCAAGUGAAGGCUUCUUUAAUAUGUAAGGCUUCUCCAGUCUUCAAAGCUUCUGACUGGGGUGCUGUGAACUGAAGAAGGCCUGAAAUAUUAAUUUCUGUUGAUCUAAACUGCAGACUAGAGUCUGAAGCCAAACUUUGUC